UUAAGUGACUAAGCGUAUGUGGUGGAUGCCUUGGCAGUUAGAGGCGAUGAAGGACGUGUUAAUCUGCGAAAAGCGUAGUUAAGGUGAUAAAAACCGUUAUAGACUGCGAUAUCCGAAUGGGGAAACCCACCCGUCGUAAGGCGGGUAUCAUUAAGUGAAUACAUAGCUUAAUGAGGCGAACCGGGAGAACUGAAACAUCUAAGUACCCCGAGGAAAAGAAAUCAACCGAGAUUUCGUUAGUAGCGGCGAGCGAACGCGAAUUAGCCCUUAAGUGGUUUGUAAGUUAGUGGAAUCUACUGGAAAGUAGAACGAUACAGGGUGAUAGUCCCGUACACGAAAAUAAACUUAUCAUGAAAUCGAGUAGGUCGGCACACGUGAAACGUUGACUGAACAUGGGGGGACCAUCCUCCAAGGCUAAAUACUCCUAACUGACCGAUAGUGAACCAGUACCGUGAGGGAAAGGCGAAAAGAACCCCUGUGAGGGGAGUGAAAUAGAACCUGAAACCGUGUACGUACAAGCAGUAGGAGCAGACUUGUUCUGUGACUGCGUACCUUUUGUAUAAUGGGUCAGCGACUUAUAUUUUGUAGCAAGGUUAACCGAAUAGGGGAGCCGUAGCGAAAGCGAGUGUUAACUGCGCGUUUAGUUGCAGGGUAUAGACCCGAAACCCGGCGAUCUACCCAUGGGCAGGUUGAAGGUUGAGUAACAUCAACUGGAGGACCGAACACACGUAUGUUGAAAAAUGCGGUGAUGACUUGUGGGUCGGAGUGAAAGGCUAAUCAAGCCGGGAGAUAGCUGGUUCUCCCCGAAAUCUAUUUAGGUAGAGCCUCGCACGAACACCAUUGGGGGUAGAGCACUGUUAAGGCUAGGGGGUCAUCCCGACUUACCAACCCUUUGCAAACUCCGAAUACCAAUGAGUGAUAUGCGGGAGACACACUACGGGUGCUAACGUCCGUUGUGAAGAGGGAAACAACCCAGACCGCCAGCUAAGGUCCCAAAGUACUAGUUAAGUGGGAAACGAUGUGGAAAGGCAUAGACAGCUAGGAGGUUGGCUUAGAAGCAGCCAUCCUUUAAAGAAAGCGUAAUAGCUCACUAGUCGAGUCGGUCUGCGCGGAAGAUGUAACGGGGCUAAACUAGUCACCGAAGCUGCGGAUUCAUAAUUUAUUAUGAGUGGUAGGGGAGCGUUCUGUAAGCCGUUGAAGGUGUGUUGUAAAGCAUGCUGGAGGUAUCAGAAGUGCGAAUGCUGACAUGAGUAACGAUAAGGGGAGUGAAAAACUCCCCCGCCGAAAGACCAAGGUUUCCUGUCCCAUGUUAAUCAGGGCAGGGUAAGUCGGCCCCUAAGGCGAGGCGGAAACGCGUAGUCGAUGGGAAACAGAUUAAUAUUUCUGUACUUCUAUAUAUUGCGAAGGAGGGACGGAGUAGGCUAGGUGAGCACGGCGUUGGUAGUCCGUGUGAAAGUAUGUAGGCGGUUGACUUAGGUAAAUCCGGGUCUUCAUUAACGCUGAGAUACGAGACGAGUGUCCAAGGACAUGAAGUCAUUGAUGCCAUGCUUCCAGGAAAAGCUUCUAAGCUUCAGAUAUAUAGGAACCGUACCCCAAACCGACACAGGUGGUUAGGUAGAGAAUACUAAGGCGCUUGAGAGAACUCGGGUGAAGGAACUAGGCAAAAUAGUACCGUAACUUCGGGAGAAGGUACGCUCUCUAAUGUGAAUGACUUGCUCAGUAAGCAUCGGAGAGUCGAAGUAACCAGGUGGCUGGAACUGUUUAUUAAAAACACAGCACUGUGCAAAAUCGAAAGAUGACGUAUACGGUGUGACGCCUGCCCGGUGCCGGAAGGUUAAUUGAUUGGGUUAGCUCUGCGAAGCUCAUGAUCGAAGCCCCGGUAAACGGCGGCCGUAACUAUAACGGUCCUAAGGUAGCGAAAUUCCUUGUCGGGU
rnacentral:rRNA from 1 species